ensembl:lncRNA
GGAUACUUUUUUUUUUUUUUUUUAAGUGUACUUUAGCAACGAAAAAUAUGUAAACACUGCUGUGGGGAAGCUUUCCGUGAGGAGACUUUUAUUUAACAUUCAUGAGCGAACACUUCAGUUACUUUAAGUUCACUGGCACGGUGAGAGUCUUCAAGACGUUAGUUUCUCAGUUAUGUGACAGGCUGCUGUUUCUAUCUUAAUAAGACUAGAGAAAGACGGAUUAUAGCUGUUUAUAACGGAAACUAUAACAAGAAUUUCUUUCAUGGAUGUUCCACAACAUUAGAUUAACAACCUGACAUGUCCUCCUUUAAUAAAUAACACACGUUAUAUAAUUGCUGUGUGUACAAGAGGAAUAAGACACUUUGAGACAUGCUGUUAUUGGAAAACGACCAGCAUAGAACCACCAUUAUUAGUUCACUUUACUAUUCUACAUUCGAUUAAAAUCACAGAUGGACUGCAGAGAGAUUUUGUGUGCGGGUUUUCUUCAUUUGAAGCAUCGCUGAGGAUUUGCUCACCGAGUUUUCUGCAAGAUUUUUGUCCGUAACUACAAGUACUCCGUUCCAAACACUGUUAUUCAUGCCUACUUAGUGUUCUUGCCAGAACGUCUGGUACACGGAGCUUUCUUUCCUCUUCUGCACCCGGCAUUUAAGAUUCUCGACUAAAUCUCGAAAGGUUAUGACUUUCAAUCCCAAGAAAGCCAUCAGGCCUUCACCUUCACACUGCACAGCUCUGUGCUUGGAUUAGUUUCUGUCACACAACUAAACUGGUAGAAUUUGGUCAGUAAAGUACUGUGUGUGUGCCUCACACUCUUGUUGUCAGUAAAUACAAGGUCAGUGUGUAAAAUCUCCUCUAAUGUCUUUCUCUAUGCCUCCCAACCCCCAGCAGGUCAUUCUUAAGGCUUUGCUUCAUUGUGUGUGUCCUGACAGCAAAGCUCAGACGCCUGGGAAUGUCAGCCUUUUAAAUAAAGCAUUCAGAAUAAAUCACCCGGACGCCGAGCUGCAGAGAGACAAAAGCAGAAGAUAAGUUCCCACAGAAUGGAAAAUUUUAACACAGAGUACCGUGCGAAUAGUUCAGUGUAAAAUGUUUCUUAAACUUAUCAGGAAUCGACCAGACGAUUUCUUCUUUUCACCGAGGAAAAACGACCGCAAGUGUUCUUCACCACAGUCCGGUCUGUAAAUGAAGCCUGCAGCUGAGCGAUGUGCAGCGUUCACUAUCCAAAUCUAAACAGCGUUCGAUCAUUCAGAGGAAUAGCAUCCUACU